GAUGAACGCGGGCGGCGUGCCUAACACAUGCAAGUCGAACGGAGAUUUAACGCUGAUGAAGCUUCGGCAGAUUCUUGUUAAAUCUUAGUGGCGGACGGGUGAGUAACGCGUGGGCAACCUGCCUCAUACUGGGGGAUAACAGCUGGAAACGACUGUUAAUACCGCAUAAGCGCACGGUAUCGCAUGAUACAGUGUGAAAAACUCCGGUGGUAUGAGAUGGGCCCGCGUCAGAUUAGCCAGUUGGCAGGGUAACGGCCUACCAAAGCGACGAUCUGUAGCCGGCCUGAGAGGGCGGACGGCCACAUUGGGACUGAGACACGGCCCAAACUCCUACGGGAGGCAGCAGUGGGGGAUAUUGCACAAUGGAGGAAACUCUGAUGCAGCGACGCCGCGUGAGUGAAGAAGUAUUUCGGUAUGUAAAGCUCUAUCAGCAGGGAAGAAAGACUCGUAAGAGAGAUGACGUAC
rnacentral:rRNA from 1 species